rnacentral:rRNA from 1 species
UACGUAGGGUGCAAGCGUUAAUCGGAAUUACUGGGCGUAAAGCGUGCGCAGGCGGUUUUGUAAGUCUGUCGUGAAAGCCCCGGGCUCAACCUGGGAAUUGCGAUGGAGACUGCAAGGCUUGAAUCUGGCAGAGGGGGGUAGAAUUCCACGUGUAGCAGUGAAAUGCGUAGAUAUCUGGAGGAACACCGGUGGCGAAGGCGGCGUCCUGGACCAACACUGACACUGAUGAGCGAAAGCCAGGGGAGCAAACGGG